rnacentral:lncRNA from 1 species
CUCGUGGGCUGCUAGGGGGUGAGCUGGGAAGCACCGAGCUGUGGCCAUGAAUUCACCCGUGGACCCCAGCGCCUGGCAAGUGCUGAGGAAGAAGCCACCUGAGCGGACCCCUGAGGCUGAACACUCUUAAAGAACCAAGCUACAUAUGUGGUGCAACUGGUCUCCAGAGCCGCCCGCUCCCACAGCAUAUCCAGUGGUUCCAGUGCCGAGCUGGAACCAGAGGAUGACGUGGAAACCAGAUCAAAAGGGAACCUGAGCUACAAAGACCUCUGUGGCACCAAAGGGAAUAAAAAAGAAGAAAGAACUCCUUGCAUGGUCUUCCUACGAUUAAAGAUUGGAAAUACACAAAACUGAGCACAAACAGAUGCAGCUUCUUGUGAUUCUGGAGCCUAUGGUGGUCCAAGGUGAUUGCUCUCAGCCUUGGCUAUAUAUUAGAAUCGCCAGAAAAACAUUUAAUAAACACCAACAUCUGG